ACAAAAUCGUAAGUCCCAUCGUUAGCUACUCUGUUUUCUUCACAGUGGCAAAUUUACAGGGACCAGUCGAUUAUGUGGCCGUCAAGGACAACAAUAUUGUCGACGCUCCAGGCACACUUGGGAAUUUAGAAAAAUAUUCCAAGACGAAGAAGGAAAUGCAGAACGCCGAUGCGGUCAUCAUUUUAAUAGGGCGAGACAUGGAACACAGGAGACCCGACGGCUCGACGUUUGUGUCAUAUGGUCUUGCGUAUACAAGAGGAGCUUGUAAUGGACAUGGUGCCAUCGUUGCCGCAGACCUUGGGACGAAAUACACGGGGGCCUUGAGCGUUGCUCAUGAAGUAGGGCAUUUCUUAGGUUCUCCUCAUGACGGUGCAGAAACGACAAAGGAGUGCCCAGCUGAUGGCGGUACCAUAAUGAGCAAACAAGCCGUUGGUGUAAUCCGACCACGGUAUUCUGAAUGUAGCAAAAGAGCCAUCAAAGC